UGGCGGACGGGUGAGUAAUGUCUGGGAAACUGCCCGAUGGAGGGGGAUAACUACUGGAAACGGUAGCUAAUACCGCAUAACGUCGCAAGACCAAAGAGGGGGACCUUCGGGCCUCUUGCCAUCGGAUGUGCCCAGAUGGGAUUAGCUAGUAAGUGGGGUAACGGCUCACCUAGGCGACGAUCCCUAGCUGGUCUGAGAGGAUGACCAGCCACACUGGAACUGAGACACGGUCCAG
rnacentral:rRNA from 1 species